rnacentral:rRNA from 1 species
CACGUAGUUAGCCGGUGCUUCUUCUACACCUACCGUCACCCGGCAAAACCGGGCUUCGUCGGUGUCGAAAGAGGUUUACAACCCGAAGGCCGUCAUCCCCCACGCGGCGUUGCUGCGUCAGGCUUUCGCCCAUUGCGCAAGAUUCCCCACUGCUGCCUCCCGUAGGAGUCUGGGCCGUGUCUCAGUCCCAGUGUGGCCGGUCACCCUCUCAGGCCGGCUACCCGUCGUCGCCUUGGUAGGCCAUCACCCCACAACAAGCUGAUAGGCCGCGGGCUCAUCCUGCACCGCCAGAACUUUCCACACCGCACCAUGCGGCACGAUGUCAUAUCCGGUAUUAGACCCCGUUUCCAGGGCUUAUCCCAGAGUGCAGGGCAGAUUACCCACGUGUUACUCACCCGUUCGCCACUCAUCCACGGUGCAAGCACCGCUUCAGCGUUCGACUUGCAUGUGUAAGCACGCCGCAGCUUCG